GAUGAACGCUGGCGGCGUGCUUAACACAUGCAAGUCGAACGAGAAGUGAAGACGGAACCCUUCGGGCGGAAGGCUUUAUUUCGAGUGGCGGACGGGUGAGUAACGCGUGGGUAACCUGCCUCAUACAGGGGGAUAACAGUUGGAAACGACUGUUAAUACCGCAUAAGACCAUAGCACCGCAUGGUGCGGGGGUAAAAACUCCGGUGGUAUGAGAUGGACCCGCGUUCGAUUAGCCAGUUGGCGGGGUAACGGCCCACCAAAGCGACGAUCGAUAGCCGAUCUGAGAGGAUGACCGGCCACAUUGGGACUGAGACACGGCCCAAACUCCUACGGGAGGCAGCAGUGGGGAAUAUUGCACAAUGGGGGAAACCCUGAUGCAGCGACGCCGCGUGAGUGAAGAAGUAUUUCGGUAUGUAAAGCUCUAUCAGCAGGGAAGAAAAUGACGGUACCUGAGGAAGAAGCCCCGGCUAACUACGUG
rnacentral:rRNA from 1 species